rnacentral:rRNA from 1 species
UACAGAGGGGGCAAGCGUUAUUCGGAAUUAUUGGGCGUAAAGGGCGCGUAGGCGGCUUGGCAAGUGGAAGGUGAAAUCCCUCGGCUCAACCGAGGAACUGCCCUCCAAACUGCCUGGCUUGAGACCGGGAGAGGUGAGUGGAAUUCCCAGUGUAGCGGUGAAAUGCGUAGAUAUUGGGAGGAACACCAGUGGCGAAGGCGGCUCACUGGACCGGUACUGACGCUGAUGCGCGAAAGCGUGGGGAGCAAACGGG